CAUAAGACAUAUAAAGCUGGCUUUUGGGAAUCGAUUAAAUCUGGUUUUCAGUCAGCAUGUCUUUGCAUGAUACAAGCUUUUGCUUUAUUUGCACUCAUUUAACCUCAGGAGAGAAGGAUUGGAGGGUGAUGAGCUAAGAAGGAAUUCUGAUGUCAUGGAGAUCCUAAAGAAGACAAGUUUCCAAAGGUUAUUGGCUCUAGCGCGUUGAAAAACCCAGAAACAACCCUGGAGCAUGAACUAUUGAUUAAAGACUGAUUACAACUUAAGCAUAUGAACGCAUGGACAAGGUUGCACCGAUGUAAUGGUACCCAUGAUCACAGGAAUAUAGCAUUUCCGGCUUAUAAAGCUUUUCAGGCUGUCGCGGUUGCUUUGCAUAAUAGUUAUUUUUCCAUUUCCCACCUGUUGAUAACAUGCCUGUGUAUAUCAAUCAAUUAGCGUCUUACAAUGUCAAUCAACUCAUCAACAAUGUCACCUCAAUUUAUUAAAACUAUUCUUCAAUUCAUUUCAACACCGAUUACUUAUUUUUGUUAACCAAAUUAUAUUCAACUACAAUGUUUUUAAAAAAUGAACAAGAAAUACAACUUUUUGCCCCGCGGCAUUGCGCAGGUUAUUUUCCUAGUCUAAUUAAAGACAGAUCCACUGUUUCACUGUUCAUCCUGGAUGGAUAGAUCCACUGUUGUACUGUUCAUCAGGGAUUGUCGCUUGCUACUUUGCUGAAUUACCCCUGCAUUCUCUUUGGUUUUUUACCUGAUUUUGCCCGGAUAGGUGCACGUCUUCAUUGGCGUCCCGAUGAUUUCCGCGUGGCUCUGUUUCCUUGCUCCACGAAGAGAGAGAACAAUGCAGAGAGAAAUGAAGAGAGUCCAAGUGUGUUUCUUUGCUUUGCCCGAAGAGAGAGAGAGAGAGAGAGAGAGAGAGAAGGGUUUAAUUUUGAUCACCGGAGAGAGAGAGAGAGUGAGAGAGCGAAAUCUGAGUUUUCUUUCUUCUCAUUGGAUCCAAAGGAUAUUUAUCAAGCGGCGAAGAGUAUUCUUUAUCAGAGGCUGAAAAGGAUGAAGGGUCGCCUGAAAGAGAUGAGUGAGUGGUGCAGGCAACUCAUGCGUGAAGAAGAUUUGGAACAAGAUGAAGAACUUGAAACUGGAGUUACUCAAGACAUUCCUGACAUUGAUGCCACUCAAGAUAUUCCCAAUGAUACUUUUACUGAGUUGUCGGUUGCUUCUUCCCGGCAGAAGUUGAAGUCCAAAGCCUGCUACAUGAACAUUGAGUGAGCACUGUAAAUUUAAUGGGGGAUCAACUACUAUAGUUUGGAACCUAAUUCAGGAUUUUGAAUGCAGGCUCAACAGUGUCUAUCCUUUGAUCUUAAUAAGAGUACCAACCCAGUAACUGCCUCAUUUCAGUUUUGGCCUUGAAGAGGAUUAUAAAUACUUAAGGAGAUCAAUCAGAGAAUUUUUGUCAGAAACUGUGAAUAAGAUUUGUGACAAAAAGAAACCGAUGUGAGAGGCAAUGAGAAAAACUUUUUGUAUAGAAACUGUGAAUCAGAUUUGUGACAAAAAGAAACUGAUGUGAGAGGCAAUGAGAAAAAGAAAAUUGUUGAGAAAGCAAAGGAUGAAAACCCACCAGCAAAGCACCUGGCUGAGCUAGAUAUGACACCUUAUGUGGACUGUAUUUUUCAAGGAGCUUCAACUCUUAUGGCAUCUUAUUCUAGCUGGAAUGGAAAUAUCAUUUUCUCCUGACUGAAGUCUCGAAAGAAAAGCUAGGAUUUUGUUCCUCAAUAUGUCCAAUAUGUCCAACUUAGCCUCCCCAUAGAGAGAGGAAGCUUCCACCUUUCAAAUCAAACUCCGAGAAAUCAAGGUUUCCUAUUGCUUCAUUUUAUUUGGGUCGUCAAGUAUCAAAUAAGUUAUUGUUCCUUGGAAAUUAAGCCACAGCCAUAUUAAAGGAAGCAGAAUUCAUAAGACAUAUCCACUCAAGGCUGGCUUUUGGGAAUCGAUUAAAUCUGGGUAAUUGUUGCUACCCACAUUUACUCAUGGGAGAAGGAUCGGAGGGUGAUGAGCUAAGAAGGAAUUUUGAUGUCAUCGAGAUCCUAAAGAAGACAAGUUUCCAUGGCUGUAGCGCGUUGAAAAACCCAGAAACAACCCUGGAGCAUGAGUAAGAGUCUUGCUCAUCAACUAUUGGUUAAAGACUGAUUACAGCUUGAGCAUAUGUAAAAAGACGCAUGGUAAUGUUAUCCUCUUUCUAAAUAAAGUGGUGCUCUCAAAACCACUUUGGAAGGCUCCCUCCUAUUUUCGUCAAUUUUUUUUUGGAAACCUGAACAGCAAUAGAAAACUGAGCAAUUUUGGAAUUUUACAGUGUUUAAUUUACUGCUUUUUGUUUGUUUAGUGUGGAACUGAGGAGAGUUGCUGAUGAUAAAUUGUAGCCCUUUUUUAUGGGUUAAAAUUGCUUCAUAUAAAAUCUUAUCAACGAUGCACUUUACUGAUUGUAAA